CCUACGGGAGGCAGCAGUGGGGAAUAUUGCACAAUGGGGGAAACCCUGAUGCAGCGACGCCGCGUGAGUGAAGAAGGAACUCGUUAUGUAAAGCUCUAUCAGCAGGGAAGAAAAUGACGGUACCUGAGUAAGAAGCCCCGGCUAACUACGUGCCAGCAGCCGCGGUAAUAUGGAAGGGGCAAGCGUUAUACGGAGUUACUGGGUGUAAAGGGGGCGUAGACGGCAGUGCAAGUCUGGUGUGAAAGGCGGGGGCUCAACCCCCGGACUGCGCUGGAAACUGUACGGCUGGAGUGCGGGAGAGGUAAGUGGAAUUCCUAGUGUAGCGGUGAAAUGCGUAGAUAUUAGGAGGAACACCAGUGGCGAAGGCGGCUUACUGGACUGUAACUGACGUUGAGGCUCGAAAGCGUGGGGAGCAAACAGGAUUAGAUACCCGUGUAGUC
rnacentral:rRNA from 1 species